UAUUGGAGUGGAUAGAAAAAGUGUUGCUUUAGUUUAGUUGUUGUUGUUGUUAUCUCUCGAAAAGUGUCUCUUUAACUUUGGUUUCCUGCUUUCCACUUCACACUCACAACAACAGUUGCCUCAUCUUCACAAGGUAGCCAACGGGAGAGCAACCUCUUCUGCAUUCUCCAAUUCCCGAUAGAUGAAUUGAUGGCCAAACUUGAAUAUAUUCCACUUUAGAGAACAGUCCUGUACUUUGAGAGUAAUCUGGCAAUUCCAAAUCAACGGAAAUACAGAUAAUUGAACAAGACAAUUUCAUCACGCACGUUCUUCUCCAGUUCUUAGUUCCCUCUAUCCUAUGGAAUUAAUCUCUAUUGCCAAUAUUUAACUUAUUCUCUGAUAAAAGCUGUCUCAGAACAGAAAAGAAACUGCGCUGCGCUUGCUUAUGGACCAAGUGUACGUUCAAAAAAGAUUUGUCGCAUAAAAGCUGCUUGGAAGAGUUGAAGGAAUUCCCGACGCCAAGAAAGAACGAAAUAUAUCCUGCAACCUUUUAAGGCUUAUUACAUCAUCUUCUUAUCUGUACUUGUUACUUUAUCCUCCUUAUCGUGCAUUCACUUCACACUUCUUCCAUUCAAUCAGGAAAAUAUGUGGUGACUCGUCCUGGGUGAGGUAAAUAAAUACCAACACGCAUACAGCCGACACUUGAAAUUCUGAGAUUUCCCAACAUGAGUAUAAAUACACAUACCUUUCGCUCAUGACAAAUCUGAUGAAUAUUCUGUGGAAUUCUUUGAUAACAAUUGCAGCAAAUAUUUAGAUCACAGAACUCGUUGUGCUAUGUGCGUAAUUAAGUUUUAAUUUAAAACUUUUAAAUCAAUUACAUAAAAAUUAAUUAUUUACGAGCAUUUACAUUCUGUACGAUGCAUUUAAACCAGGUUACUGCAAUAAAAUGUGUUUAUGUA